AGUGAACGCUGGCGGUAGGCCUAACACAUGCAAGUCGAACGGCAGCACAGUAAGAGCUUGCUCCUACGGGUGGCGAGUGGCGGACGGGUGAGGAAUACAUCGGAAUCUACUUUUUCGUGGGGGAUAACGUAGGGAAACUUACGCUAAUACCGCAUACGACCUACGGGUGAAAGCAGGGGAUCUUCGGACCUUGCGCGAUUGAAUGAGCCGAUGUCGGAUUAGCUAGUUGGCGGGGUAAAGGCCCACCAAGGCGACGAUCCGUAGCUGGUCUGAGAGGAUGAUCAGCCACACUGGAACUGAGACACGGUCCAGACUCCUACGGGAGGCAGCAGUGGGGAAUAUUGGACAAUGGGCGCAAGCCUGAUCCAGCCAUACCGCGUGGGUGAAGAAGGCCUUCGGGUUGUAAAGCCCUUUUGUUGGGAAAGAAAAGCAGCAGGUUAAUACCCCGCUGUUCUGACGUUACCCAAAGAAUAAGCACCGGCUAACUUCGUG
rnacentral:rRNA from 1 species